rfam:Triticum urartu cultivar G1812 contig24810, whole genome shotgun sequence.
UUAGUACUCCCUCCGCCUCAAAAUUCUUGUCUUAGAUUCGUCUAGAUACGGAUGUAUCUAAUACUAAAACGUUACUUGAUACAUCCGUAUUUAGACAAAUUUAAGAAAAGAAUUUUGAGACGGAGGGAGUACAAG